UGUUUUGGCAUUUUUUCCCCCUUUUCUUUUGCUUCUGAUUCUUGUUUUGUUAUUAUAAUCAUUCAAAGCUGUGUAAUUAAUAUUCUGCAGCUACACCACCGUCGGUCUUGAAUGCACAUAAAGAUUAAACAAUUUAUUUAUUUGUUUUUAUUUAUUAUUAUUAUUAUUAUUUUAAAUUUAGUGUUAGUGUUACAACUUUUUUUGUUCCUACUGUGUUUCUCUCUCAGGUUUGCUUAGAUGCAGUAAGAGUUGCAGGCUGAGAUGGACUAAUUAUCUCAGGCCCGGAAUCAAACGUGGUAACUUCACUGAACAUGAGGAGAAGAUGAUUAUCCACCUUCAAGCGCUUCUUGGCAACCGGUAUGUAUAUAGAAAUCUUGUUUCGUUAUGAAUACACACACUAAUAUGAGGCCAUGCAAGAUCUUGUUUUUCUUGAAUUAGGGUUUGAUCUAACUGUAGUCCCAAAUGCCAAAACAAGAUUUUUUAAGCUUUUAUGGGAUGGCUGAGAAUCUGGAUUCAUUAGAAUGGAAAAAUCUUGUUUAUUAUACUGUUCAUGGAACAGAAAAUAUUAUAGGGAUCUCAAUAGUGGUAUGCUAAUUUGUUUUAUGGUGCAGAUGGGCUGCCAUAGCUUCAUACCUUCCGCAACGAACCGACAAUGAUAUUAAGAACUUUUGGAACACUCAUUUGAAAAAGAAGCUGAAGAAACAACAAGGGAAUGAUGAACAAAAUCAAGAAGGGAGUUCAGAUUCUCAAUCAAUUCCAAAAGGCCAGUGGGAGAGAAGGCUCCAAACAGAUAUUCACAUGGCAAAACAAGCCCUAUGUGAAGCCUUGUCCUUAGACAAAUGGAACACAAAUUUGCUUGAUUCAAAGCCCUUUCCAGUAACCCUUUCAGAAACUAAACCAAUUCAGACAUCAACAUAUGCUUCGAGUACUGAAAACAUUGCGCGUUUGCUUCAGAACUGGACGAAAAAAUCACCAAAUUCCUCUCAAGCUGGUUCAUCACAGAGUACUACUCAGACUUCCUUCAACAACCCUUCAAUAGGGACAAGUUCCAGUCCUAGUGAAGGGACAAUUAGUGCCACAACACCUGAGGGAUUCGACUCAUUUAUGGGCUUCAGUUCUUCCAACUCCGAUGUUUCUCAAUCUGAGGGCGAACCCAAGGUCAAUGCUGCAAAUUUCAUUCCAGAAGCUGGGACUUUGCAGGGGGAGAGCAAGAUAAAUUUGGACAUUCAAAUGCCCCUAACUUUGCUGGAAAACUGGCUCUUUGAUGAUGCUUCUGCACAAGGAGGGGGAGGAUACAUAAUGGACAUGUCUUUGGGGGAAAAUGCUGAUUUGUUUUGAAAAAAGUUUUUCUUCAAAACAAAGUAGCAGUUUCAGGUUGAUCUUUUUGUCUUUUUGGUGGGUUUUUAGGCAGAAGUGUCCUAAUCAGUGUCUGCUCCAUCUAGAUCGAGCACAAAAGGAUGGAAUCUUCCAUAUAUUGGGAGAGCAUAAAGUGUAAAUGACUGAUCAUGUAUUGCAAUGUUUGGUAUGUAGUAUUAGAUAGAACUGGAUAGUAAAAAAAAUUGAUUUUAACUUCAUUUUAUUUGUUACUACUUUCCAGUACUAUGUAAUCCUCCGUACCAAACAUGUCAUACUAGUAGUGUAUAUGCACAUAUGCAUGGUUAAUUAAAUAGGAAUAAAUCUCUCUUGAUCUAUCUCCUUAGAACAACUGUUUGUACUCUGUGCACCAUUUGGUGUUUAUUAUGAGAAAUGAUAAUUAUGGUUUGAGUUAUGAUGCUUCCGAAUUUACUAAUGGUCUGUUCGGUAAUGAUUAUGAGAAUUGAUUUUUUGACUGUUAAAGAUAAAGUGGGUUUUACCUGUAAAUGAAGAAGUAAAAAAUGAUGACUGAAAUAGUGAAAUAACAUUCAAAAAAUUAAUUUUUUUGGCAUAUAAAAUUGCUAACAAAUGGGGCUAAAUAAAACUACAUUUUGUAUGUGGCAUAUAAUCCUGACCGUGAAAUGAAAUUUUUGGGGGAAAAAAAAAAAAACAACAACAACCAGUUUUUAUCACAGUCCUUUAAAAAAUUUCAAUUCUAAACACACUCAUUUUUUGUCUUCCCUCGGACGUAGGCCAAGUGCCGAACCUUCUAAGUUCUUUACUUUCUUCUCUUUUACAUUUUGCCUAAAAUCCUAAUCUGCAGCAGCAAGUCGUGUUAUGAUUUCAGAACCGAUAAAGUUGCAGGCUGAGAUGGACUAAUUAUCUCAGGCCCGGAAUCAAACGUGGUAACUUCACUGAACAUGAGGAGAAGAUGAUUAUCCACCUUCAAGCGCUUCUUGGCAACCGGUAUGUAUAUAGAAAUCUUGUUUCGUUAUGAAUACACACACUAAUAUGAGGCCAUGCAAGAUCUUGUUUUUCUUGAAUUAGGGUUUGAUCUAACUGUAGUCCCAAAUGCCAAAACAAGAUUUUUUAAGCUUUUAUGGGAUGGCUGAGAAUCUGGAUUCAUUAGAAUGGAAAAAUCUUGUUUAUUAUACUGUUCAUGGAACAGAAAAUAUUAUAGGGAUCUCAAUAGUGGUAUGCUAAUUUGUUUUAUGGUGCAGAUGGGCUGCCAUAGCUUCAUACCUUCCGCAACGAACCGACAAUGAUAUUAAGAACUUUUGGAACACUCAUUUGAAAAAGAAGCUGAAGAAACAACAAGGGAAUGAUGAACAAAAUCAAGAAGGGAGUUCAGAUUCUCAAUCAAUUCCAAAAGGCCAGUGGGAGAGAAGGCUCCAAACAGAUAUUCACAUGGCAAAACAAGCCCUAUGUGAAGCCUUGUCCUUAGACAAAUGGAACACAAAUUUGCUUGAUUCAAAGCCCUUUCCAGUAACCCUUUCAGAAACUAAACCAAUUCAGACAUCAACAUAUGCUUCGAGUACUGAAAACAUUGCGCGUUUGCUUCAGAACUGGACGAAAAAAUCACCAAAUUCCUCUCAAGCUGGUUCAUCACAGAGUACUACUCAGACUUCCUUCAACAACCCUUCAAUAGGGACAAGUUCCAGUCCUAGUGAAGGGACAAUUAGUGCCACAACACCUGAGGGAUUCGACUCAUUUAUGGGCUUCAAUUCUUCCAACUCCGAUGUUUCUCAAUCUGAGGGCGAACCCAAGGUCAAUGCUGCAAAUUUCAUUCCAGAAGCUGGGACUGUGCAGGGGGAGAGCAAGAUAAAUUUGGACAUUCAAAUGCCCCUAACUUUGCUGGAAAACUGGCUCUUUGAUGAUGCUUCUGCACAAGGAGGGGGAGGAUACAUAAUGGACAUGUCUUUGGGGGAAAAUGCUGAUUUGUUUUGAAAAAAGUUUUUCUUCAAAACAAAGUAGCAGUUUCAGGUUGAUCUUUUUGUCUUUUUGGUGGGUUUUUAGGCAGAAGUGUCCUAAUCAGUGUCUGCUCCAUCUAGAUCGAGCACAAAAGGAUGGAAUCUUCCAUAUAUUGGGAGAGCAUAAAGUGUAAAUGACUGAUCAUGUACUGCAAUGUUUGGUAUGUAGUAUUAGAUAGAACUGGAUAGUAAAAAAAAAAUGAUUUUAACUUCUUUUUAUUUGUUACUACUUUCCAGUACUAUGUAAUCCUCCGUACCAAACAUGUCAUACUAGUAGUGUAUAUGCACAUAUGCAUGGUUAAUUAAAUAGGAAUAAAUCUCUCUUGAUCUAUCUCCUUAGAACAACUGUUUGUACUCUGUGCACCAUUUGGUGUUUAUUAUGAGAAAUGAUAAUUAUGGUUUGAGUUAUGAUGCUUCCGAAUUUACUAAUGGUCUGUUCGGUAAUGAUUAUGAGAAUUGAUUUUUUGACUGUUAAAGAUAAAGUGGGUUUUACCUGUAAAUGAAGAAGUAAAAAAUGAUGACUGAAAUAGUGAAAUAACAUUCAAAAAAUUAAUUUUUUUGGCAUAUAAAAUUGCUAACAAAUGGGGCUAAAUAAAACUACAUUUUGUAUGUGGCAUAUAAUCCUGACCGUGAANNNGUCCUUUAAAAAAUUUCAAUUCUAAACACACUCAUUUUUUGUCUUCCCUCGGACGUAGGCCAAGUGCCGAACCUUCUAAGUUCUUUACUUUCUUCUCUUUUACAUUUUGCCUAAAAUCCUAAUCUGCAGCAGCAAGUCGUGUUAUGAUUUCAGAACCGAUAAACACAAAUUGAUGGAGCCAUCCUGGGAUUGAAUUCUUCUUAUACAUAAUUAAUAUGAGCUUAUCAAUAUAUAGAGAUAAGACAUAAAUACAUAGAUCAUGUUUUUACUUUUUUAAUAUUUUGAGAUGAUGCAGUUGUCACAUGUGACUUGUUUUAAUCGAACUGUUUCAUUACAAACUUACGGUGGGUAUACAAGAAAUACAACUUUUAGUUUUACAACAAAAUAUUUUACACUUUUGCCAAAUAAAUAAUUUGGCAAUGGGGAAAUACUUUUUAAUGACUCCUCAUCUUCCAGUUUAAUUACACAAGCACAAAGAAAAAGAGUAAUGCUAUACAACCCCAUAUUGGAUAAAGUGAAUAUGGUAUUAAAUAAUAAAUGAAGUUAAAUGGCUCAUUUAGUUUCACCUUUCAUUUAACCCAUCAUCUAGAGCUAGCUAGAUUGGGUUCACAAUUCUAGUGGGGCUAUGUGACAUUACUCUAGAAAAAAAUCAUCUUUGUAUGGCGUAUAAAGUUAUAUAUGCUUAACAAAAUGAUUUGAAACCUCUAAUUUUUAUUUUCCUUCGUAAUGAUGCCUCUAGAUUAUUAUAUUAUUCAAUAAAAAUUGCUAUUUGGAGGGGACGUAAAUGUUAAAACAAAGUAAAUUUCUAGAAGCUUAGUAUAGGUUUGUUGCCUCGAAUGUUUGAAGUCGCUUGAAUUAAAGAACUGCAUCAAAAACUUGGAAAACCUAUCAAUUGUACAUUAAUGACUUGGUGUCUGGACUGAUAUUAUAUGUACUAUUUGCUUUGGGAGAGUAUGAUUCAACUUUAAAUCUCUCGUAAAACAAAAAUUUUGGAUUCAAAUAUUGGGGGACGUGAUAAAAAGUCGUAAGGCAUAAAACGGAAUAUGCUCCGUCAAAUCGAACAAUAUAUAUGAUAUAAUGACUUAGGUCCAAAGGUACUCAAUCGAUAUUAGGAUUUAACUUAAAUCUUCCAUAAGCUAAAGACUUUGAAUUUGAAUAUUGGAGGAUGCGUCAGAAAUUCGUAAAGGAUAAGAAGAUAUAUGUUUUCCCAAAUCGGACAAUACUUAGGACAUAAUGACUUGAACUCAGAAGCCAAGUUGUUACACAUAUUACAACUAUGUAUUAUGAUAAUGUUUGUCUAUCCAGUAUUUCAUUCCAAAAAUAACCUUGUCAAGGUAGAUGUUUACUUUGGUGGGGCUAAGGUAAGUUUUUCGCAUGUUUCUUCAACUCAUGAGUUGGAUCAUUCACUCACAAAACCUCCAUCCACAUCUCACUUUCAAAUAUUACGGUCCAAGUUGGGAGCCACCAAUGAUACUCCUAUCUCGUGGGAGGCAUGUUAGAGAUAAAAUUCUAUACAAUUUAGAUUACUUGUAAUCACAAUCCUUGUGUGUGUGUGUAUUAACUUUUGUAAAUUAGUUGUUGUAGAUUUACUCUACUCAAACGUGAGUCUAGCAAGAUUACUUGUUCUUUGUAAUUGUAUACGUAUAUGAUUGUUCAUAUACAACAUUAUAAAUAUUGCUGACACACUUAGCAAUUUCUAGUUGCUCAAUUAUUUUUAGCUCCAAGUAUUAAUCUUUAAUUAUAUAUACUUUUUAGAAAAAAGUGGUCACGGUUCCAGCUGAGUUUCAAGGAACAAGUUUGAGUUGCAUGUCGAAUCUUCCAAACAAGUAUUCGUUCUUGGACUGAAAUCCAGAACCAGAAUACUGGUCAGCUGACAACGUCAACAUGCUUCCACCCUCGACUACCUUUCCACGCCCGUCACCCCAAGUAAUAUCAGCAUCUCGGUAGAAGUUACCAGCUGUAGGGAUUGUGAAACAGGCCAGGACCACCGAAAGUGAAAGCGUCAAUAAAUUUGCUAAAGCUUUAGAAUUAGAAAUGACUGUUAUUUCGAGAAGAAUAAUUCUCCCUGUCCCGGGUUGGGAGCAGGGUUCUUUCGAGAAGAACACAUAGACUGUGUUUGUUUUUUAUGAGUGAGAGUCGGAUUCUGAAAACCCUUUAUACAUAGAUUUUGCACUCCCCUUUUGAAAACUGUCAACUAAGCUUGACGCCAUGGAUUGAGAGAUGGCCAAGAUUAAUUGUUUCCGCGCAAGGUUUGAGCCUUUAUUAUCUCUGGCAUGGGUCCACCCUCAGAGGUUCUUUUUAUUUUUGUAGGCGGUGCUUGGAUCAAAAUAUACCAACCACGAUUACAUUGUUCAAAAUUAUUGAGUUAUAUACGCAACUUAACCGCAAAUUAUGAUACAAAAUUAAAUCUCGUAUUUGAUUCUUAAAUCUCAUUAUGCAAUAUAAUUAUUAUUUUUUUAAAGAUAAUAAUUUAAUUAGGCAUCAUAUUUUGUAUUUUCAGUGAACCUUCUCGUUUAGAUAAUUAUAAUGCAAGCCACGUUGACAUGUCAAAUUGAUUAGGCUGUCUUUUCAAGUUACGGUUUGGUCCUUAAAUAUUAUUAUUAUUAUUAUUUUAAAUUUAGUGUUAGUGUUACAACUUUUUUUGUUCCUGCUGUGUUUCUCUCUCAGGUUUGCUUAGAUGCAGUAAGAGUUGCAGGCUGAGAUGGACUAAUUAUCUCAGGCCCGGAAUCAAACGUGGUAACUUCACUGAACAUGAGGAGAAGAUGAUUAUCCACCUUCAAGCGCUUCUUGGCAACCGGUAUGUAUAUAGAAAUCUUGUUUCGUUAUGAAUACACACACUAAUAUGAGGCCAUGCAAGAUCUUGUUUUUCUUGAAUUAGGGUUUGAUCUAACUGUAGUCCCAAAUGCCAAAACAAGAUUUUUUAAGCUUUUAUGGGAUGGCUGAGAAUCUGGAUUCAUUAGAAUGGAAAAAUCUUGUUUAUUAUUCUGUUCAUGGCACAGAAAAUAUUAUAGGGAUCUCAAUAGUGGUAUGCUAAUUUGUUUUAUGGUGCAGAUGGGCUGCCAUAGCUUCAUACCUUCCGCAACGAACCGACAAUGAUAUUAAGAACUUUUGGAACACUCAUUUGAAAAAGAAGCUGAAGAAACAACAAGGGAAUGAUGAACAAAAUCAAGAAG
rnacentral:lncRNA from 1 species